CAGUAGCCGCGGUAAUACAGAGGGUGCGAGCGUUAAUCGGAUUUACUGGGCGUAAAGCGUGCGUAGGCGGCUUCUUAAGUCGGAUGUGAAAUCCCUGAGCUUAACUUAGGAAUUGCAUUCGAUACUGGGAAGCUAGAGUAUGGGAGAGGAUGGUAGAAUUCCAGGUGUAGCGGUGAAAUGCGUAGAGAUCUGGAGGAAUACCGAUGGCGAAGGCAGCCAUCUGGCCUAAUACUGACGCUCAUGCACGAAAGCGUGGGGAGCAAACAGGAUUAGAUACCCGUGUAGUCCCUGUCUCUUAUAC
rnacentral:rRNA from 1 species